rnacentral:tRNA from 1 species
GCGGGUGUGGUUUAAUGGUAGAAUUUCAGCUUCCCAAGCUGACGACGGGGGUUCGAUUCCCCUCACCCGCUCCA